rfam:Brachypodium distachyon strain Bd21 chromosome 1, whole genome shotgun sequence.
CUAAUACUCCCUCCGUCCCAUAUUAAGCGUCGAAAUAUUACAUGUAUCUAGACGUUUUUUAGGCAUAGAUACAUCCAUAUUUGGAUAAAUUUGAGACACUUAAUAUGGGACGGAGGGAGUAGUAC